GACGAACGCUGGCGGCGUGCUUAACACAUGCAAGUCGAACGGUGACCUCGAGAGCUUGCUCUUGGGUGAUCAGUGGCGAACGGGUGAGUAACACGUGAGUAACCUGCCCCAGACUCUGGAAUAACCCCGGGAAACCGGAGCUAAUACCGGAUACGAGACGGAGCCGCAUGGCUACCGUUUGGAAAGUUUUUCGGUCUGGGAUGGACUCGCGGCCUAUCAGCUAGUUGGUGAGGUAACGGCUCACCAAGGCGACGACGGGUAGCCGGCCUGAGAGGGCGACCGGCCACACUGGGACUGAGACACGGCCCAGACUCCUACGGGAGGCAGCAGUGGGGAAUAUUGCACAAUGGGCGAAAGCCUGAUGCAGCGACGCCGCGUGAGGGAUGAAGGCCUUCGGGUUGUAAACCUCUUUCAGCAGGGAAGAAGCGAAAGUGACGGUACCUGCAGAAGAAGCACCGGCUAACUACGUGCCAGCAGCCGCCGUAACAC
rnacentral:rRNA from 1 species